rnacentral:rRNA from 1 species
GGUGGCCGCAGAGAAUAGGCCCAAGCGACUGUUUACCAAAAACAUAGGUUUCUGCUAAGUCGCAAGACGAUGUAUAGGAGCUGACGCCUGCCCGGUGCUGGAAGGUUAAGGGGAUCUGUUAGAGUAAUCGAAGCAGUGAACUUAAGCCCCAGUAAACGGCGGCCGUAACUAUAACGGUCCUAAGGUAGCGAAAUUCCUUGUCGGGUAAGUUCCGACCCGCACGAAAGGCGUAACGAUUUGGGCACUGUCUCAACAACAGACUCGGUGAAAUUGUAAUUCCGGUGAAGAUGCCGGAUACCUGCGACAGGACGGAAAGACCCCAUGGAGCUUUACUGUAGCUUGACAUUGGGUCUUGGUACUACAUGUACAGGAUAGGUGGGAGGCUUUGAAACCAGGACGCCAGUUUUGGCGGAGCCAUCCUUGGGAUACCACCCUUGUAGUACUGGGACUCUAACCAUAGGCCAUGAAUCUGGUCUUGGGACACUGUCAGGUGGGCAGUUUGACUGGGGCGGUCGCCUCCCAAAAGGUAACGGAGGCGCUCAAAGGUUCUCUCAGUACGGUCGGAAAUCGUACGUAGAGUGUAAAGGCAAAAGAGAGCUUGAUUGCAAGACAUACAGGUCGAGCAAGGAUGAAAAUCGGACUUAGUGAUCCGGUGGUUCUGCGUGGAAGGGCCAUCGCUCAACGGAUAAAAGCUACCCUGGGGAUAACAGGCUUAUCUCCCCCAAGAGUCCACAUCGACGGGGAGGUUUGGCACCUCGAUGUCGGCUCAUCACAUCCUGGGGCUGUAGUAGGUCCCAAGGGUUGGGCUGUUCGCCCAUUAAAGUGGUACGCGAGCUGGGUUCAGAACGUCGUGAGACAGUUCGGUCCCUAUCCGUCGCAGGCGUAGGAAAUUUGAGAAGACCUGUCCUUAGUACGAGAGGACCGGGAUGGACGUACCUCUGGUGUACCAGUUGUCCUGCCAAGGGCAUGGCUGGGUAGCUAUGUACGGAAUGGAUAAGCGCUGAAAGCAUCUAAGCGCGAAGCCAACUUCAAGAUAAGAUUUCCCACCGCAAGGGUAAGACCCCAGAAAGACUAUCUGGUUGAUAGGUCGAAGGUGUAAGUGCAGCAAUGUAUUUAGCUUAUCGAUACUAAUAG